AUUGAACGCUGGCGGCAGGCCUAACACAUGCAAGUCGAGCGGUAGCACAGAGAGCUUGCUCUCGGGUGACGAGCGGCGGACGGGUGAGUAAUGUCUGGGAAACUGCCUGAUGGAGGGGGAUAACUACUGGAAACGGUAGCUAAUACCGCAUAACGUCGCAAGACCAAAGUGGGGGACCUUCGGGCCUCAUGCCAUCAGAUGUGCCCAGAUGGGAUUAGCUGGUAGGUGGGGUAACGGCUCACCUAGGCGACGAUCCCUAGCUGGUCUGAGAGGAUGACCAGCCACACUGGAACUGAGACACGGUCCAGACUCCUACGGGAGGCAGCAGUGGGGAAUAUUGCACAAUGGGCGCAAGCCUGAUGCAGCCAUGCCGCGUGUGUGAAGAAGGCCUUCGGGUUGUAAAGCACUUUCAGCGGGGAGGAAGGCAUUAAGGUUAAUAACCUUAGUGAUUGACGUUACCCGCAGAAGAAGCACCGGCUAACUCCGUGCCAGCCGCCGCAGUAA
rnacentral:rRNA from 1 species